GCUAACCACCCCUUGUUUGUGGGAAGCCAUGGGGCUUAGGGGGGCCAUGACCCUCUCUAGUCCUCAUGUAGCUCCACCCCUGCCUACCUAGUAAGUCUUUUAGCUGCACCAUACAUAUAGUGUGUUUUAUUGCAUGAAGAUAUGGGUAUGCAACAAGUAGAUGGACAAGAAUGUGGAAGUUGUGGAGUUUGGAAAUCUUUGUUGCAAAGAAAUUAUUUGAUGGAUGGAUCAAUGCAGGCCUGGGAAUUUCAUCAAAAUAGUAUAGUACGCGCUAACAAAGUAACACUAUUAUCAGUGCCUGACACCAGAAGAUUCCUAUAUCUUAUUAUCAAUCAGGAACCUGCUUUUUACUAAAGCGCAUGUAUUAGUUUAUGCACUCAUCCAUCAGUUAACUAUUGGAUAUCCAUAAGACUGUAUUAGUUUACUCAAAACCCUUUUUCUCCAAUUUAUGCAGGUACGACUAUUCUGGCUAUGGACAGUCAUCAGGGAAGGUAAACAGUAUAAAUCCUCUUCGGUUUGAUAUUUGACUGAAAUUACUGUGGUCAAGCAGCUUCUCUAAAGCUUCAUUUAUGUCCUUCUGCAGCCCAGUGAGCACAAUACUUACGCUGAUAUUGAAGCUGCUUAUAAG
rnacentral:misc_RNA from 1 species